rnacentral:rRNA from 1 species
GAUGAACGCUAGCUACAGGCUUAACACAUGCAAGUCGAGGGGCAUCAGGAAGAAAGCUUGCUUUCUUUGCUGGCGACCGGCGCACGGGUGAGUAACACGUAUCCAACCUGCCUCACACUGGGGGAUAACAGUCAGAAAUGACUGCUAAUACCGCAUAAGCGCACGGAACCGCAUGGUUUUGUGUGAAAAACUCCGGUGGUGUGAGAUGGACCCGCGUUGGAUUAGCCAGUUGGUAGGGUAACGGCCUACCAAAGCGACGAUCCAUAGCCGGCCUGAGAGGGUGAACGGGCCACAUUGGGACUGAGACACGGCCCAGGACUCCUACGGGAGGCAGCAGUGGGGAAUAUUGCACAAUGGGGGAACCCUGAUGCAGCGACGCCGCGUGAA